rnacentral:rRNA from 1 species
GGACGGGUGAGUAACGCGUGAGUAACCUGCCUUCAAGAGGGGGAUAACAUUCUGAAAAGAAUGCUAAUACCGCAUGACAUAUCGGAACCACAUGGUUUUGAUAUCAAAGAUUUUAUCGCUUGAAGAUGGACUCGCGUCCGAUUAGUUAGUUGGUGAGGUAACGGCUCACCAAGACCGCGAUCGGUAGCCGGACUGAGAGGUUGAACGGCCACAUUGGGACUGAGACACGGCCCAGACUCCUACGGGAGGCAGAUG